UGCCGUGUGUUUUGGACCUUAGUCAUUCUUCUCUGGACACAUUCUAGCUUGUUGAUAUCCUUCUUGAACUAGUUCAUUCAACAGUUUCACAUGAUAGCUGAUGUCCAUAUUAUCUUCCAACCUUGUUUUUUUCUCAUUACUGAGAUGCCUUUUUAAAAAAUUUGCAGACGAUGGCAAGAUUUUUCACGGGAGCGGAGUGGGAGAUCCCUUUGGUCCACGCUGCUACAAGGGAGACAUCAUGGGCUGUGGGAUCAUGUUCCCCCGUGACUAUAUCCUUGACAGUGAAGGUGAUAGUGAUGACAGCUGUGAUACGGUCGCUAUUAGGGCCAAACCCGAGGUGUAAGGAAUGUCCUGUACCUGCAUCAGGAAGCUGAAGAGGAUGAAGAUGAGGAAGAGAUGGGAAGAAGACAUGGAACAGGAACAUGAAGGCAAGAAAGUAGUGGUGUUCUUUACACGCAACGGGAAGAUAAUUGGAAAGAAGGAUGCUGUGGUGCCUGGAGGGGGCUUUUAUCCCACCAUUGGGAUGUUGAGCAGCGGGGAGAAAGUCAAGGUGGAUCUGCACCCGCUCAGUGGCUAAGGAACAAGGGCUGAGGAGCCCCAUCACUUUCCUUCUGCCAUUCCGUGGGACUGCCGGAUGUACCCAGGCUCUUCUUCAUUGCACUUCCAGUCUCCAUUUCCAGGGGCAGCGUUGUUGUUGUUUUUGUCUGUGGGGCCAUAUAGAUCUCUGUCUACUUAACAUCACCUGAGCCACCUAUUCUUUUCUUUCCUGUUUCAUUCCAACAAUUCUCAGGCUCUUUGUGACACUGUUGGGGAAGGAAAAAAAAUCUUGAGGCUCUUUUGUUUCCCAAGCAGGUCUGGGAUUUAGUUGCUGGGUCAAAGGCCCAGUCUCUUCCCCUCUUUCAGUGAUCCAUCAGUCACAGCCUCAUGAGGCAGUGUGGUCCUGGUCCUGGUCCUGGGUGUGAGGUUGUGACAUCUUGGGCUUUGAAAUAGAGGCUGGGGUAUGGCCUGGCCUAAUCCAGUACUGGAGGAGUUCAGGGCCAUCUUCUGUGAGGAGUUGCUUCAUCACAGAUAGAGCUGAUAGAACAGUGCAGCUCUCUGCUGUGGCUAUGCACCAUAUUUUUUCUUUCUGUGUAAUACUUUGGAUAUUUGUAACCUCUUUGCAGCUGCAGGCCAGCCCCAUUGAAUCAUAAUCCGAAAUAUGUUGUUCACCUGAUCCCAACACUGUGCAGCAAACUCUUGUGCCGUGCUCUUGGGACCAGCCCUACCAUUAGGCAGAGGGAGGCAGCUCAUUGGGUGCUGAGUUCAGUUCUUCCUUUACUCCCCAGUUGUUUUUCUCUGUUGGAGGAGGGAACUACAUACACCACACAACCUGUUCUGGACCUCCUAAACUGGCCUGCUGCCCUCAGGUGUCAUAGAAGACACACAAUCUCUUUUGUUGGCAUUCAGGUGAAGUUUAGCUACCAGUCCAGCCAGCAUCCUUACAUGGAGAAGGAAAGGCUCCACCUUAUUCUCUUCCAAAUGUCUUGGGCUAGCCCUUCACCUUCUUAUUAAACUUAUUUAGUUAAAUCUGUAGGUGUGCAAUCCCAUGGCUUCUAACUUUCUUGUCCAAAUGACUAUAUACUAGCUUUGAAGAUGAUGUGAGAGGAUGUUCUAGAUCCAAGGAGAAGAAAUCUUUCUAGGGCUGCACCUUUUUUUUUUAUGAGCUCUCUGCCUGAUUCGAUGUAAACAUGUCUUCUGCCUAGUAAUAGCCCUGGGGAGGAAAAGAAAGGGGUGUUGGUGACCUUCAGGCAAAAUAACCUCUGCCAUCUUCCUUCACUAAACUGCUGAGGGUUUUUUAAUAUCAUGAGCUAUAUAUAGGACCAUGCUGGCUGCUGAAUGAUAUAGUUCAUAGCCUGGUUUCUGUGCUGUUACAUUAUCUCUAUACUGCUGGUUGUUACUUAGAAGAUGAGGGUAAAAAGAAGGCAUGGAACAUGAACUGUGUCCUGAAGUUUGAUUGUAAAGUGUUUACUCAUUGCCUUUCCUACUCUUCUUCCCUCAAGUUAAAGGCAGGCCUUUAUAGUCAUAGCCCUGCCCUUGUAUGCAUUCCCUUCUGAGGUCUCUUGCAUUCUGCAUUGUACAUGUGUUGCUGUAAUCAUUUCCCUGCUCUGGCUUUGAAGCUCACAAGGGUUCUUUGGAUGGAUGAAGAAACCUUGUCAUGGUGCCAUUUGUGUAUAUGUGGCUUAUCAGUGGCAAGAGAAGCCAAAGAGUAGUAGUUUCAUUGACACUUGAGGACAGUGGGUAGACAAAGGACAAGUCACUACAUGGCCCUAUUCCCAUUUCUCUGGCCCUGUGUAGUCACGGGUAGUCUUGCUGCUAAAAUUAGAAUAUUCUGGGAACCUGAGUUGGGAUGGCCAUGAAAGCUAUUGCAUUGGCUCCCCCUGGUGAUGUACUUAGCUUUGUGGAAAUUGUCCUGUUUUAUAAGUGGGCUGGGAUGGGAGCAACACAUCCUUUUCUGCUUCUCUUUCUCUCUUGAAUAUUGUUAUCUUACCAUCAGUCCUUCCUGAUUAUUGGAGGGGUAAAGGACUGCUUCUUAUCUUCCAUUCUAACCUUGCUGCUGCUGUUGCACACUGUACUUCCUUUCCCCCUGUUUCUGAAAGAAUAUGUUGCUGCAGAAGAAAGGAGGUAGGGUGAUCGGGGUGGGGAGUCAGUGUAUGAAAGAUUGUGGCAGCCUUGAUGAGUGUGCUAUGCAAAAUUCCCUGGCUACAACAGACCUUUGCAAGGAGCCAAAAUACUGCUCCCUCUGCCCAUUGUGCAGUCUUCUCUUGGUCUCUGGUGGCUAAUGGAUGCCUGGUCUGAACAGAGCCCUCUUCUGUCCAGCUCUAUGUGUGUGCCUCUGAUUCCUUCUGCAUCUCGAUAGACAGAGUCUUGAUAUGCUCAAUAAAACUUGAGAUUUCCAUACUUAUCCAACACCUGAAUAAGCUUCUGUCAUAUUUAAUAUGCAUCUCCUACAAAGGCCCCUGAUAUGAUAGAACACUUAUCUGGACCUAUUAUUGCUUGCCUUUUAAAAAAACAUCAACCCUUAAAUAGCAGCAGCAGUAGCAUUCUUCUCUUAUAUUUUUUAAAAAUUAAAAUAAUAGCAAAAUUAAAGCA